UUGACUAUACUUUCGGAAUCAUUUCUAUAGUUUGUUACUAGAGAAGUUUCUCUGAUCAGGUAGAGCACUCAAAAUUAAGAGGAAGAGCCAGGGCAUCCUGAGCAUGAAGCCAGUUCUAGAUGUUGCUUUUGCAAUCACCUUUUACCACUGAUGAUCAUUCUUCUCUUCCCUUGGAAGAGUGAGAGGUAGAGAAUGCAGUCUGAGUGG
rnacentral:snoRNA from 1 species